rnacentral:rRNA from 1 species
UCCUACGGGGCGCAGCAGUAGGGAAUUUUCGUCAAUGGGCGCAAGCCUGAACGAGCGAUGCCGCGUGAGUGAAGAAGGCCUUCGGGUCGUAAAGCUCUGUUGCGGGGGAAAAAAGGCAGCAUCAGGAAAUGGGUGCUGACUGAUGGUGCCCCGCCAGAAAGUCACGGCUAACUACGUGCCAGCAGCCGCGGUAAUACGGAGGAUGCGAGCGUUAUCCGGAUUUAUUGGGUUUAAAGGGUGCGUAGGCGGAAUGCCAAGUCAGCGGUAAAAUCGCGGGGCUCAACCUCGCUCCGCCGUUGAAACUG